UCGAAUAUUGUGUACACGGUAGGUUACAGUUGUAUUAAGAGUUGUAUUGUGUUUACAUAGGAUGUGGAGUUGUGUCCUAAUAGGACACUUGUAUCCUAGGCCUCUCAUAUAUAGCGGGGGUAGACAGACAAUGUAACCUAUGCCAACAUAAUAGCACCGGAACGCAGGGGAAGCCGGCGACAUGUGCCGGUGUCCAGGGCGACCGGGUGCGGUAUUGUAGCGGUGAUGGGGAGGAGCGCCCGUAGUCAGGCCCAGGGGAUGUAGCCAUAUCGGUGAACCUCGUUAACAAAUCUCGGUGUCGUGCUCGUGUGAUUGCUCGGUCCUCGGAUGAUCAACGGUAUACCUUGGAUUUAUUUUAACAAAUGGUAUCAUGAGUAAGGUUACGAAGAGGCUGUUGUGUUGAGCCGAGUUGGUUCGUUGAUUUAGUUCGUCAUGGGAGACGAUCGUGUAUCAGCGGACGAAAGCGGCGGUCGAAGAAAUCGAUGGAAGCAGCGGGGCGUAAUGCGUGCAAGCUGGCGGCGGUUUGUUCAGAGUCUCGACGAGGUGCGAUCGAAAUCAGCGGCGUCAGGAGAGUCGUGCGGCGGUCGGUCGACGGAUUGAUGGUGCGAGCGUACUCUAGGCGGGCGCUGAGAUCGCUGGCGCUUGGUGGCUCAUUGGGCAGGCAAGCCCAGGCCCAGGCGGGGCUGGCCGUAGCGAUCCGUGCAGGUGGGCAGGGCAAGGCGUGCAACGCGAGCAGGUUCAGUUGGCCGGUGAAGCACGCAGGAAGCGCAACAAAGCAGCGAAACGAGUUUUGUUUGUAAAAAAAGAAAAGGACCGGGUCCUUGUGUGACACGGACGGAGGCAGAUCAAUCGGCAAGGAAAAAGUCUAUCAAGGGAUUUGACAAAGCAAAUAGCUAGCAUUGAGAGUUGAGCCUAGGAGCUACACCACGUGAAGACCAACAUUGUUUUGGUUGAAUUGCUACUAGUAGUGGGAGGUGACCACGUUAGGUUUGCUUAUGUACUUUGUCAUAGUGGAAAGAAGCUCGGUUAAUUUUCGCAAGGUCAACCAUACAAAGAAUCAUGAUGCUAUUGGGCAUCGGGUUUGAGGUGGAGAAGUUCAUCGGAACUAAAAACCUUGGGUUAUGACAGACACGGAUGAAAUUUUUGUUGGCACAACAGAGAUGCUUGAAGGCGUUGCGGGAAGUCAAUUCAGUUAAGAUGGAAUUAUCAUGUGAUGGAUGGAAAUUCUUGAAAGACGAUUUGGGAGCCUCGAGCGUGUCAUGCAGUCGAACAAGUUCGGCUGGGUCGAACUGGACAGUCUGAUGGAUCGACGCGAGUCGGUUGGUACAGAAGACGGUGAUGGGAUCGGCGACGACGACAUAGGAGCGUGAUGCCGAUGGUGACCAAUUUCUAGACGUGGAAACACGUGGCACAGCCCGAUGGCUUGUGUGGCUUCGACAAGACUAUGACGCGGGGUUGAUUCAAGGUGAUGACACACGGAGCUUGAAGUCGACGGGGCGCGGGGUGGCACGUACAACCACCAUGGAGUCAUGUUGAAGGUGGAGCUGGAGUCUGGAGGACUUCACUCGGUGCUGAUUGAGGGGCUACGGCGUAAGUGCACAGAGAGUCGAAGUCUAUUCAGCGGGAAAAGCGAGGGACACGUAAUUCGGAUUGGAGCCUAGUGGUCUGAUGGAAACGUGAAACUCGUCAUCGGUCGGUGUUGAUCGGUGGUACUCUGCAGUGGGGGUUGAGUGGUGUGGUUUCGCGACCCUUGAGACUCGACCGGGACCACGGAGGCUCGACGCGGUAAUAGCGGUGAGGCGUGCGGUACGCACGGGGCAUGGAGACGGGCCAAGGCUCUGAUGGUCAUACAUGUGGUGAGACAACUGUGAAUUUGACUCGGGAUGAUUACAAGCAAUGGUGAAAUUUCUCCAAAUUCAGACAGACAGUCAAGAAAGGAGCGGUGAUAUUGAGUUCAGAUAACUCUUAUGUGUGACACCCAAUACGUGAGUUGUUCAAUUUCACGCAGGUCAGUGAUCAGUGUAUGAUGUGUUGAACGAAGCUCUGGAAGUUGGGAGCAUACACUAGAGUAAAGAGGAACUUAAUUUUGCUCGAGUGUUGACAGUGGUCAAGAAAAGAAGGGACUACAAGUUGCAGGUGGAGUCACAUGGAGUCUUUGAAGUAGCAGCGAUACUCAUGGGAUAAGCUCAAGUCCAAUGUACAUGGAAGUUUGACGCAUGGACAAAUCCAGGGUGGUGGAGAAUAUUCGCCAAGGUGGAGUUUGUUAGAGUUGUGUCAAAUAUUGUGUACACGGUAGAUUACAGUUGUACUAGGAGUUGUAUUGUGUUUACAUAGGAUGUGGAGUUGUGUCAUAAUAGGACACUUGUAUCCUAGGCCUCUCAUAUAUAGCGGGGGUAGACACACGAUGUAACCUAUGCCAACAUAAUAGCACCGGAACGCAGGGGAAGCCGGCGACAUGUGCCGGUGUCCAGGGCGACCGGGUGCGGUAUUGUAGCG
rnacentral:lncRNA from 1 species